AGGAGGAAUAUCACAGAAGCGAAGUGCAAUUCUCAUCAUGUCAUAUCAAGAGCACACACUAACAACAUGACUUAUUGCUGAAUAUUGAACUUGAUCACCUGGCUGAGGUAGUGUUUGCCAGAUUUCUCUGUAAAGGUGAAUAAACUGACACUGGAACAUUCAGGAACUUCUUCGUGGUCAUGGUCACCCAGCUAGAGUGUGGAAGCCAGGCUGUCUGAUUCCACGAUCUGUGUUCUUAAUCCUAUGCAUAAGGAAGCCAUAAUGAGGCAACCACUAUUUUUAAGAUUCACAGAUGUUCGGGCCCAAUUCACCAGAAUGCCAAGUUAUACAGAGUUGUGGAAUCAAAACUGCAAUUAGUAAUAAAAUGUGAUGCUCUCUGGAACGUUUUUCAUACAUAUAUAUGCUUCUUGGGACUCUCUCUGAAGGUUAAGAGAAAUUGAGAAACGAUGGAGAAUUUAAGUGUUUUAGAUCCUACAUACAUUAGACUUAAAAAUAGUAACUAUAUACAUGAGUAUUUAUAAACUUAAGAAUGAACAUAACAUGAACCAUGUGGCACCUAUAAAAUGAAAAUAAAAUACCUACAAACCAACUGAGAGCAAUAAAAGAAGCUUUAAGGACUUUCA